AUUGAACGCUGGCGGCAGGCUUAACACAUGCAAGUCGAGCGGGGGAAGGUAGCUUGCUACCGGACCUAGCGGCGGACGGGUGAGUAAUGCUUAGGAAUCUGCCUAUUAGUGGGGGACAACAUCUCGAAAGGGAUGCUAAUACCGCAUACGUCCUACGGGAGAAAGCAGGGGAUCUUCGGACCUUGCGCUAAUAGAUGAGCCUAAGUCGGAUUAGCUAGUUGGUGGGGUAAAGGCCUACCAAGGCGACGAUCUGUAGCGGGUCUGAGAGGAUGAUGCGCCACACUGGGACUGGAACACGGCCCAGACUCCUACGGGAGGCAGCAGUGGGGAAUAUUGGACAAUGGGGGGAACCCUGAUCCAGCCAUGCCGCGUGUGUGAAGAAGGCCUUAUGGUUGUAAAGCACUUUAAGCGAGGAGGAGGCUACUUUAGUUAAUACCUAGGGAUAGUGGACGUUACUCGCAGAAUAAGCACCGGCUAACUCUGUGCCAGCCGCCGCAGUAA
rnacentral:rRNA from 1 species